rnacentral:rRNA from 1 species
UGUAUAAUGGGUCAGCGACUUAUAUUCUGUAGCAAGGUUAACCGAAUAGGGGAGCCGAAGGGAAACCGAGUCUUAACUGGGCGUUAAGUUGCAGGGUAUAGACCCGAAACCCGGUGAUCUAGCCAUGGGCAGGUUGAAGGUUGGGUAACACUAACUGGAGGACCGAACCGACUAAUGUUGAAAAAUUAGCGGAUGACUUGUGGCUGGGGGUGAAAGGCCAAUCAAACCGGGAGAUAGCUGGUUCUCCCCGAAAGCUAUUUAGGUAGCGCCUCGUGAAUUCAUCUCCGGGGGUAGAGCACUGUUUCGGCAAGGGGGUCAUCCCGACUUACCAACCCGAUGCAAACUGCGAAUACCGGAGAAUGUUAUCACGGGAGACACACGGCGGGUGCUAACGUCCGUCGUGAAGAGGGAAACAACCCAGACCGCCAGCUAAGGUCCCAAAGUCAUGGUUAAGUGGGAAACGAUGUGGGAAGGCCCAGACAGCCAGGAUGUUGGCUUAGAAGCAGCCAUCAUUUAAAGAAAGCGUAAUAGCUCACUGGUCGAGUCGGCCUGCGCGGAAGAUGUAACGGGGCUAAACCAUGCACCGAAGCUGCGGCAGCGACACUAUGUGUUGUUGGGUAGGGGAGCGUUCUGUAAGCCUGUGAAGGUGUGCUGUGAGGCAUGCUGGAGGUAUCAGAAGUGCGA